rnacentral:misc_RNA from 1 species
GAUGAAGAACGUAGCGAAAUGCGAUAAGUAGUGUGAAUUGCAGAAUUCAGUGAAUCAUCGAAUCUUUGAACGCACAUUGCGCCCCUUGGUAUCCCGAGGGGCAUGCCUGUUCGAGCGUCAUUUCACCACUCAAGCCUGGCUUGGUGUUGGGCGACGUCCCCUUUGGGGACGCGCCUCGAAACGCUCGGCGGCGUGGCACCGGCUUUAAGCGUAGCAGAAUCUUUCGCUUUGGAAGUCGGGGCCCCGUCUGCCGGAAGACCUACUCGCAAGGUUGACCUCGGAUCAGGCAGGGAUACCCGCUGAACUUAAGCAUAUCAAUAAGCGGAGGA